rnacentral:rRNA from 1 species
UACGUAGGGUGCGAGCGUUGUCCGGAAUUACUGGGCGUAAAGAGCUUGUAGGUGGUUUGUCGCGUUGUUCGUGAAAUCUCACGGCUCAACUGUGGGCGUGCGGGCGAUACGGGCAGACUAGAGUACUGCAGGGGAGACUGGAAUUCCUGGUGUAGCGGUGGAAUGCGCAGAUAUCAGGAGGAACACCGGUGGCGAAGGCGGGUCUCUGGGCAGUAACUGACGCUGAGAAGCGAAAGCGUGGGGAGCGAACAGG